CUGGGCCCAGAGUGUUGUGGUCAAUGGAGUUAAAUCCAGUUGGUGGCCGGUCCCGAGUGCUGUCCCCCAGGGCUCAGUACUGGGGCCGCUUCUAUUUAACAUCUUUAUUAACAAUCAUGAUGAGGGGAUUGAGUGCACCCUCAGUAAGUUUGAAGAUGACACCAAACUGUGAGGGAGUGUUGAUCUGCCAGAGGGGAGAAAGGAACUGCAGAGGGACCUGGAGAGACUAGAUCGAUGGGCCAAGGUAAACUGUCUGAGUUUCAACAGGGACAAGUGUUGGGUCCUGCAUUUUGGUCACAACAACCCCAGGAAACCCUAUAGGCUUGGGGAGGGGUGGCUGGAAAGCUGCCUGACGGAAAGGGACCUUGGUGUACUGAUGGACAGUCGGCUGAAUAUGAGCCUGCAGUGUGCCCAGGUGGUCAAUGGCAUCCUGGCUUGUAUCAGGAAUGGUGUGGUGAACAGGACUAGGGAAGUAAUCCUGCCCCUGUACUCAGCACUGGUGAGGCCUCACCUCGAGUACUGUGUUCAGUUUUGUGCAUCUCAGUACAGAAAGGACGUUGAGGUGCUGGAGCAGGUCCAAAGAAGGGCAACAAGGCUUGUGAAGGGCUUGGAAAAUAUGCCCUAGGAGGAGCGACUGAAGGAACUGGGGCUGUUUAGUAUGGGGAAGAGGAUGCUGAGGGGAGACGUUAUUGCUCUCUUCCAAUAUCUGAAAGGUGCUUACAGCGAGGGUGGGGUUGAUCUCUUCUCACUGGUGACAGGUGACAGGAUGAGGGGAAAUGGCCUCAAGUUGUGCCAGGGUAAGUUUAGGUUGGAUAUCAGGAAAAACUUCUUUACAGAAAGGGUUGUUAAGCACUGGAAUAGGCUCCCCAGGGAGGUGGUUGAGUCACUAUCCCUGAAUGUGUUUAUAAACCGUUUCAACAUGGUGCUCAGGGACAAGAUUUAGUAGAGGGUUGUUAGAGUUAGGGUAGUAUGGUUAGAUUGUGGUUGGACUUGAUGAUCUUUAAGGUCUUUUCCAACCUGAGCAAUUCUAUGAUUCUUUGAUUCCAUAAAACAUUUGAUAGUUUCUGUUUUUCUAUCCAAACCUUAUGGAAGAUGGUGGAAGAGAUGUAGAGUAAAGCUUGAAGACACUGAAAGUUUAGAAAAUCAAGAAGGUACAAGCUUAGAGAUCUGCAGUUGGAAGCAGCCCUCAUUGCCAACAACCUUGGUGAGUAUGAUGAUUAGAAAUUUGUUCAGAAGUCAAAGCUGUUAAGUCAAUCUGGACAACCUGGUGAUUGUCAUCAAAU
ensembl:lncRNA